AGUGAACGCUGGCGGUAGGUCUAACACAUGCAAGUCGAACGGCAGCACAGAGGAGCUUGCUCCUUGGGUGGCGAGUGGCGGACGGGUGAGGAAUACAUCGGAAUCUACUCUGUCGUGGGGGAUAACGUAGGGAAACUUACGCUAAUACCGCAUACGACCUACGGGUGAAAGCAGGGGACCUUCGGGCCUUGCGCGAUUGAAUGAGCCGAUGUCGGAUUAGCUAGUUGGCGGGGUAAAGGCCCACCAAGGCGACGAUCCGUAGCUGGUCUGGGAGGAUGAUCAGCCACACUGGAACUGAGACACGGUCCAGACUCCUACGGGAGGCAGCAGUGGGGAAUAUUGGACAAUGGGCGCAAGCCUGAUCCAGCCAUACCGCGUGGGUGAAGAAGGCCUUCGGGUUGUAAAGCCCUUUUGUUGGGAAAGAAAUCCAGCUGGCUAAUACCCGGUUGGGAUGACGGUACCCAAAGAAUAAGCACCGGCUAACUUCGUGCCAGCCGCCGCGGUAA
rnacentral:rRNA from 1 species